rfam:Trichomonas vaginalis G3, whole genome shotgun sequence.
ACACCAGGGGUGGAGCCUGUGGCUUAAUUUGAAUCAACACGGGGAAACUUACCAGGACCAGAUGUUUUUUAUGACUGACAGGCUUCGGGUCUUUCAGGAUAUUGUUUUUGGUGGUGCAUGGCCGUUGGUGGUGCGUGGGUUGACCUGUCUAGCGUUGAUUCAGCUAACGAGCGAGAUUAUCGCCAAUUAUUUACUUUGCCGAAGUCCUUCGGUUAAAGUUCUAAUUGGGACUCCCUGCGAUUUUAGCAGGUGGAAGAGGGUAGCAAUAACAGGUCCGUGAUGCCCUUUAGAUGCUCUGGGCUGCACGCGUGCUACAAUGUUAGGAUCAAUAGGACUGCGAGCCUGAGAGGGUGCGCUACUCUUAUAAUCCCUAACGUAGUUGGGAUUGACGUUUGUAAUCAGCGUCAUGAACCAGGAAUCCCUUGUAAAUGUGUGUCAACAACGCACGUUGAAUACGUCCCUGCCCUUUGUACACACCGCCCGUCGCUCCUACCGAUUGGAUGACUCGGUGAAAUCACCGGAUGCUUACGAGCAGAAAGUGAUUAAAUCACGUUAUCUAGAGGAAGGAGAAGUCGUAACAAGGUAACGGUAGGUGAACCUGCCGUUGGAUCAGUU